CCUACGGGAGGCAGCAGUGGGGAAUAUUGCACAAUGGGCGGAAGCCUGAUGCAGCAACGCCGCGUGAGGGAUGACGGCCUUCGGGUUGUAAACCUCUUUUAGCAGGGAAGAAGCGUAAGUGACGGUACCUGCAGAAAAAGCGCCGGCUAACUACGUGCCAGCAGCCGCGGUAA
rnacentral:rRNA from 1 species